rnacentral:rRNA from 1 species
AGGACGAACGCUGGCGGCAUGCCUUACACAUGCAAGUCGAACGGCAGCACGGGGGUAACCCUGGUGGCGAGUGGCGAACGGGUGAGUAAUACAUCGGAACGUGUCCUGUAGUGGGGGAUAGCCCGGCGAAAGCCGGAUUAAUACCGCAUACGAUCUACGGAAGAAAGCGGGGGAUCCUUCGGGACCUCGCGCUAUAGGGGCGGCCGAUGGCAGAUUAGCUAGUUGGUGGGGUAAAGGCCUACCAAGGCGACGAUCUGUAGCUGGUCUGAGAGGACGACCAGCCACACUGGGACUGAGACACGGCCCAGACUCCUACGGGAGGCAGCAGUGGGGAAUUUUGGACAAUGGGGGAAACCCUGAUCCAGCAAUGCCGCGUGUGUGAAGACGGCCUUCGGGUUGUAAACUGCUUUUCUUUGGGUACGAGCGAAGGACGGUACCGAGAGGAAUCACGCCCCGGCUCACUACGUGCCAGCAGCCGC